UACGAAGGGGGCUAGCGUUGUUCGGAAUUACUGGGCGUAAAGCGCAUGUAGGCGGAUCUAUAAGUCAGAGGUGAAAUCCCCGGGCUCAACCCUGGAAUUGCCUUUGAUACUGUAGAUCUGGAGUCUGGGAGAGGUGAGUGGAAUUCCGAGUGUAGAGGUGAAAUUCGUAGAUAUUCGGAGGAACACCAGUGGCGAAGGCGGCUCACGGGCCCGAGACUGACGCUGAGAUGCGAAAGCGUGGGGAGCAAACAGG
rnacentral:rRNA from 1 species